AGUGAACGCUGGCGGUAGGCCUAACACAUGCAAGUCGAACGGCAGCACAGUAAGAGCUUGCUCUUCCGGGUGGCGAGUGGCGGACGGGUGAGGAAUACAUCGUACUCUACUUUUUCGUGGGGGUUAAGGUAGGGAAACUUACGCUAAUACAGCAUAUGCCCUAGGGGUGAAAGCAGGGGAUCUUCGCACCUUGCGCGAUUGAAUGAGCCGAUGUUGGAUUAGUUAGUUGGGGGGGUAAAGGCCCACCAAGGCGACGAUCCGUAGCUGGUCUGAGUGGAUGAUCGGCCACACUGGAACUGAGACACGGUCCAGACGCCUACGGGAGGCAGCAGUGGGGAAUAUUGGACAAUGGGCGCAAGCCUGAUCCAGCCAUACCGCGUGGGUGAAGAAGGCCUUGGGGUUGUAAAGCCCUUUUGUUGGGAAAGAAAAGCAGCAGGUUAAUACCCCGCUGUUCUGACGGUACCCAAAGAAUAAGCACCGGCUAACUUCGUG
rnacentral:rRNA from 1 species